AUGUUUAAUGAAGAUGAUAUUUUUAGCAUCCCAAGUUCCGAUAUGCAAAGUUGUUAUGAUGAUAGCAUGCGUCCUACCUAUGAUGAUUAUAUUGAUGAAAGUGGGUUCGAAAGAGAGUCAAAUUUAGGAAGUAGUGAUCCCACUAUUUUGGAGGAUGUUGAAUUUUAUUGUGAUGAAUAUGAAAGUGGAUUUGGAAGAGUGUCAACUUUAUUUAGUGAUUCCACUAUCUUGGGAGAGGUUUCAAUCGAUUAUGAUGAGAACGAAGUUGCUACUUAUGAUGAUUAUUGUGAUGAAACUUAUACUAUAAAAAGUAGUGAUGAUUAUAUUUACAAACCUUGUCAUGAUUAUGAUUAUCCUUUUUCUGAACAUUACUCUUUUAAUGUGGAAACAAUUUUUAGUGUUCAAGUCUCUUAUGAUACUCCCACUAUUCCGAAUGAGAAGAAUUUUGCUUAUGUGAAGAGUAGUAAAUUUUCUAUGCUUGUAGAUCAUGAAAAUAAUGCUUUAGGUGCAGGUUAUAUUGUUUAA
rnacentral:rRNA from 1 species